rnacentral:rRNA from 1 species
CCAUGGCCGACUGUUAGAUGAAGAUCAGCGUAAUGAGCUUAUCGGAUUUUCAGAGAGGUGGUGCAUGGCCGUCGUCAGUUCGUACUGUAAAGCGUUCUGUUAAGUCAGAUAACGAACGAGACCCUCAUCUCUAUUUGCUACCCUUCUCUCCGGAGGAGGCGCACCAUAGAGAGACCGCUGGUGCUAAACCAGAGGAAGGCGAGGGCAACGACAGGUCAGUAUGCCCCGAAUGUCAUGGGCUACACGCGCGCUACAAAGGACGGGACAAUGGGAAGCCAGAUCGAGAGAUCGAGCUAACCCGAAACCCGUUCAUAGUUCGGAUUGUGGGCUGUAACUCGCCCACAUGAAGCUGGAUUGCGUAGUAAUCGUGUUUCAACAUAGCACGGUGAAUAUGCCCCUGCUCCUUGCACACACCGCCCGUCAAACCAUC